GAAAUGCGAUAAGUAAUGUGAAUUGCAGAAUUCAGUGAAUCAUCGAAUCUUUGAACGCACAUUGCGCCCGCCAGCACUCUGGCGGGCAUGCCUGUUCGAGCGUCAUUUCAACCCUCAGAACCCCUUGCGGGAUCUGGCGUUGGGGAUUAGCAUCCAGCCAGCCCCGAAAUCUAGUGGCGGUCCCUACGCGACCUCCCCUGUGCAGUAGCGAUACCUCGCAGCGGGACAGCGGUCUGACCACGCCGUAAAACCCCCAACUUCUCAAGGUUGACCUCGAAUCAGGUAGGAAUACCCGCUGAACUUAAGC
rnacentral:misc_RNA from 1 species